UACAGAGGUCCCAAGCGUUGUUCGGAUUCAUUGGGCGUAAAGGGUGCGUAGGUGGCGCCGUAAGUCGGGUGUGAAAUUUCGGAGCUUAACUCCGAAACUGCAUUCGAUACUGCGGUGCUUGAGGACUGGAGAGGAGACUGGAAUUCAUGGUGUAGCAGUGAAAUGCGUAGAGAUCAUGAGGAAGACCAGUGGCGAAGGCGGGGCUCUGGACAGUUCCUGACACUGAGGCCCGAAGGCCAGGGGAGCAA
rnacentral:rRNA from 1 species